AGCCCGUGGAAUGGGCACAAAAUCAAUAAAUCCUUAUAAUUCUCUCAUGCAUCAAACAAAUAUUCCCCCUCUUCCUGCCUAAAACGAUUAAUCUCGUUUCUAACU